rnacentral:rRNA from 1 species
GAGUUCGGAACAGCGGUGGAGCAUGUGGUUUAAUCCGAUGAUACGCGAAAAAUUUUACCAAUCUUUGAAUAUAAGUUGAUUUAAAAUCUUAAAUGAAAGCUUUUGCUUAAGAUAAAGACUUAUACAGGUGUUGCAUGGCUGUCGUCAGCUCGUGUCGUGAGAUGUUUGGUUAAUUCCUAUUUAACGAGCGAAACCCUCUCUUUUUAUUUAUUUUGAGUUUAAAAUAGUUUUUUUCUGAAAUUUAUUUAAAAGGACGGUCAAAGAAAUUUGAAGGAAGGUGAGGAUCAAGACAAGUCGUUAUGGCCUUUAUAGAUUGGGCUACACACGUGCUACAUAGGUAAUUACAAUAAGAUGCAAUUAAGUGAUUAAGAGCAAAUCUUUAAAAGUUAUCGUAGUUCGGAUUAUAGACUGAAAUUCGUCUAUAUG